AGCGCAAUGUGGCUCAGGUGGCAGACGCACCAUGUACAGGGGCUAUAAUCCCCAAUGUGGGUGUCCUGGGUUCGAAUUCCAGUCUUGUGCCA